AUGAACGCUAGCGAUAGGCUUAACACCUGCAAGUCGAGGGGCAGCGAGGGUAGCAAUACCUGUCGGCGACCGGCGCACGGGUGAGUAACGCGUAUGUAACCUGCCCGCAACAGGGGGAUAACCCGGCGAAAGUCGGACUAAUACCGCAUAAAACAGGGGUCCCGCAUGGGAAUAUUUGUUAAAGAUUUAUCGGUUGCGGAUGGGCAUGCGUACCAUUAGGUAGUUGGUGAGGUAACGGCUCACCAAGCCUUCGAUGGUUAGGGGUUCUGAGAGGAAGGUCCCCCACACUGGUACUGAGACACGGACCAGACUCCUACGGGAGGCAGCAGUGAGGAAUAUUGGUCAAUGGGCGAGAGCCUGAACCAGCCAAGUCGCGUGAAGGAUGACUGCCCUAUGGGUUGUAAACUUCUUUUACAAGGGAAUAAAAUGAGAUACGUGUAUUUUAUUGCAUGUACCUUGGGAAUAAGCAUCGGCUAACUCCGUG
rnacentral:rRNA from 1 species